UAGGGAAUCUUCGGCAAUGGACGAAAGUCUGACCGAGCAACGCCGCGUGAGUGAAGAAGAUUUUCGGAUCGUAAAACUCUGUUGUUAGAGAAGAACAAGGACGUUAGUAACUGAACGUCCCCUGACGGUAUCUAACCAGAAAGCCACGGCUAACUACGUGCCAGCAGCCGCGGUAAUACGUAGGUGGCAAGCGUUGUCCGGAUUUAUUGGGCGUAAAGCGAGCGCAGGCGGUUUCUUAAGUCUGAUGUGAAAGCCCCCGGCUCAACCGGGGAGGGUCAUUGGAAACUGGGAGACUUGAGUGCAGAAGAGGAGAGUGGAAUUCCAUGUGUAGCGGUGAAAGGCGUAGAUAUAUGGAGGAACACCAGUGGCGAAGGCGGCUCUCUGGUCUGUAACUGACGCUGAGGCUCGAAAGCGUGGGGAGCAAACAGG
rnacentral:rRNA from 1 species